UACGGAGGGUGCGAGCGUUGUUCGGAAUUACUGGGCGUAAAGCGCGUGUAGGCGGCCUUCUAAGUCUGGUGUGAAAGCCCGGGGCUCAACCCCGGAAGUGCAUUGGAUACGGGCAGGCUAGAGUGUGGUAGGGGAGAUCGGAAUUCCUGGUGUAGCGGUGAAAUGCGCAGAUAUCAGGAGGAACACCGGUGGCGAAGGCGGAUCUCUGGGCCAUUACUGACGCUGAGGAGCGAAAGCGUGGGGAGCGAACAGG
rnacentral:rRNA from 1 species